GGUGUCCGUGGUGUACGCGGUAGGCACAUCUGCCUGUGAAGCAGAAGGUAUGGGUUCAACUCCCAUCGGUCACCC
rnacentral:tRNA from 1 species